rnacentral:rRNA from 1 species
CACGGGGGGAGCAAGCGUUGUUCGGAAUCACUGGGCGUAAAGGGCGUGUAGGCGGUCAGGUAAGUGGAAUGUGAAAUGCCCCGGCUCACCCGGGGACCGGCAUCCCAAACUGCCUGGCUUGAGUAUGGGAGAGGAUGGAGGAAUUCCUGGUGUAGCGGUGAAAUGCGUAGAUAUCAGGAGGAACACCGGUGGCGAAGGCGUCCAUCUGGCCCAAUACUGACGCUGAGGCGCGAAAGCUAGGGGAGCGAACGGG